rnacentral:rRNA from 1 species
UACGAAGGGGGCUAGCGUUGCUCGGAAUCACUGGGCGUAAAGCGCACGUAGGCGGAUUGUUAAGUCAGGGGUGAAAUCCUGGAGCUCAACUCCAGAACUGCCUUUGAUACUGGCGAUCUCGAGUCCGGGAGAGGUGAGUGGAACUGGCGAGUGUAGAGGUGAAAUUCGUAGAUAUUCGCAAGAACACCAGUGGCGAAGGCGGACUCACUGGCCCGGUACUGACGCUGAGGUGCGAAAGCGUGGGGAGCAAAGCA